ensembl:misc_RNA Metazoa_SRP Metazoan signal recognition particle RNA
GCCAGGCAUGGUGGUGCGUGCCUGUAAUCCUAGCUACUUGGGAGGCUGAGGCAGGAGAAUCGCUUGAACCCAGGAGGCAGAGGUUGCAGUGAGCCAAGAUUGCGCCGCUGCACUCCAGCCUGGGUGACAGAGCAAGACUCUGUCAUUU